GCCAGCAUGGUGCAGUGGUUUGAGUGUCGGACUACAACUCUGGUGACCGUGGUUUGAUUCCCCACUUUGACA